AUAUAUAUAUAUAUAUAUAUAUAUAUAUAUAUAUAUAUAUAUAUAUAUACAUAUAUGUAAUAUAAGUAAAUGGAUUCCCAUUGAUUUCUGUGGGGUUAUUCCAGUUGUUUAAUCAGUGAAACUACCUAUUCACUGAAUUAUGGUGUUAGUGGCUGAGUAUUCCACAGACAUUUGUCCCAUUAAUUUAAUCCUCAGACAAUUUAAGGGUUGCAUGACAUGUAGCAUGAUUGACCCCUUUUUUAGUUACCAGUCCAGUCCGGUCCAUUCAGUCCAUUUACCAAAGUUUCACACAUACAGUCUCCAUUAUGCCUAGUCAUUUUAUUCACAAGACUUGGGUUGAUUCGAGGCCCUGGAAGAAACUUGUGCUGCACGGUGGUAUUGAACCUGAAACUUCAUGAUUGAAAAACAAACUUUUUAAUCAGUGAACUAUGUACACAUAAAGAAAUCACACGUGUGUGACCACGGAAGUACACGUAUACACAUGCACUUGGAUGCACACAUACAGACCAGCAUACACUCACAAACAUGCCCACAAAUUUAUAUUGAGGUUGUAAUCCCCAUUUUUAAAGCCUUCUAUGGACAAUGCUUUUUCAUUCAUCUUGGCAUUCAUUCUAUGUGAUGUUAUAUAGGGCCGCAUCCAUAUGUGGUCAGCACCUAAGUAUUUUUAGAAUUCAUGGUCUCAGCCUCUAAUUACACAAAUAUGUAGGUACAGAAUGUAUGGGUGCCUCUGUGUGUGUGUGUGAAGUCAAAUCAAAUAAACAAAAUUAGCAAUAACAAACAACAAGAGAAGAAGCAUAAGAAAUGUAAUGGUUUGACUCUUGGUAAAAAGAGAGAGUUUUUGACAUUUCGAGCAUAGAUCUUCAUCAGAAAGGAAAAAGGGAAAGGUCCAAAGAAGGAAAA